GGGGCAAUUUACACUUCUGGUUUAUUGUCCCUUUAACCAGCCAGUGUAUCUGUGUAUGAUGUAUUUAUCUACUGUGCAAGGGUUGUGUAGCCAGUCAAGGUCGUUAAAUGUAUCUCUAGCUCCAUUGACAGACUCCCAUAAUAUAUUCGAAAGCGGAUCCCGGAUUUUGAAAAAAAAAAAAGAAUGUGGAAGGACGUAAAGACAACAU
rnacentral:lncRNA from 1 species